GUUUUGUGGGUGUUGAAUGCAGGCAAAGAUCGUCGGUAGAACUAACUGUUUAUACCAUUCAUUGCAGUUCCUCGAGUCGAGGCCGAGGCACGAGGUAGAAUAAACUGUCAAAUCAGCAAAUUCAACUUUUAUAAUACCAGAUAACUAGAAGAAGAGCUAAGAUGGAUGCAGUUGGAAACUUGAUCGUGUACUCUUUGGCAAUGAUUGUCCUGCCUGUUGGAGGGUUCUUUGGCUCAAAGGCUGUCCUGUUUGAAACAGUGCUUGGAUACAGUGAUGGCUCAGUGGGAGGUGCAAUAAUUGCAGUGAUUCUGAUUCACCUCGUUAUAGCCAUGUUUGUGUACAAGGCAUGGAGUGAGGGACAGAGCCCAACACCAAUCAAACAGGACUAGUCUAUCUCUGUGUGUGCAGAUUAUGUUAGGAGCUAUAGCACCUCUUUACUUCGUUCUCCCUUUCAUUGUAAUUCACUUGUGGUUUUGUAUAUAUUGAGCAAAGCAACAAAGGAAUACACCGUGUUAAUUAA